CUCAGUCAAUAACCUUUUAAAAAGUAUAUAAAAACAUAAUUUUGUAAAAUUAAUUUUAAAUACCUAUUCAACCAGUAAUGUUUACUAUACUAAUACAUUUAUUUUUAUUAUUUAAAUUUUGAAUUCCAGAUAUAAAUUACAUAGCAUUCACAUGUUCAUACUCAAUGUGACAUCCCAAUAAUAUACGUCAUGCAUAUACUAAUAAGACGUCAUCACAUACAAUAUUAGAAAGCAGAAUUUAGGAUGACAGUUAAGUACUUAAGAAUUAGGGAUUAAAGUUAUCCAAAUUUAGGAGAAAUUUAAAACUUGAAGAACUAAAGUAUAUAAAAGAAAAACAUAAAAAGAAAGUGUUUCGAAUAACAAGAGAGGCUAUGAAAUCCUAGAGCAUCUAGGCAGCUACAUCUCCAUUCUCCUCCAAGACGUUCUCCACAUUGACUUCAUUCUCCUCUGCUCACAUCCAAGUAGAUGAUCAUUGCAAAAGAAAAGUAUACAACAUGAACACAAGCAAAUGCAAGGGUGAGCUAAUUAUAUAAAAAGCAUACAUCAUAUCAAACAUAUAAUAUACAAGAGUUAAUUUUUUUUUAAUCAAAACAGAUUAAGUCAUAAAUCCUAACAUGUUGAAUACUAGACUUGACUCGUCCGGACUUUAAAAUGAUAGUCGAGCUAUGACGAGUCUUGCACCCGUGGUGACUUAUGAAACUUGGGUUCUCCACCCUGUCACACUCACGAGGUUAGUUCGUUCCACGCCUUGAGGCAUACUGGGAGCCCCCAAGACUAAGGACCUCCUGCUACUUCUCACCACUCUAAGUGAGUUUGAUUGACCAUUGAAGCGUCAGAAUGACUCCCAAGGCUGAGACCCUACUUUCAUUUUAAAACACUAAGAAUCUCACCAAGAGAUUCUACACAGAUGGAACUUGGUUUACCACUUGGUUCGUACUUUCAUCACUUUGUAAUCAUAUACUUUUUUUGUCACAAUCAACAUAUACAUAAUAAUUCCUCAGGUUAAAUCAUGAAAAUCGUUUGUAUCAUCUUUUAACUUAUUCGUACCUACUAACAAAACAACAAGCUACUUUGUUAUUAUAAUUUAAUUUUAUACCAACUAAAAGUUUAAUCACAUGCUAAACUUAAUAAUUCUAAUAUUUACAUAUCAAUAAUAUAAAUAUUAAAUAAAACCAUUCUAAUAUUUAUAUAUAUAAUAUAAUACUAAAUACAACUAAGUUAAGUAACGUUUCUAAUAUUUAAACAAUCCCAUACAAAUAAAAGAAUGAUUUUAACAUAUUAUACAUCAUAUAAUAUAUAAAAAAAUAUAAGAUAUUAUAACCUAUUGCUAAUAAACAAUGAUAAACUUAUGUUCUAGAGACACUUAACCAACAUAAAUAUUUCAUUCAUGUUUCAAGGUGGACCCCACCUAAGUCACCUUCCUCCAAACUAAUUUUCUCACGUAAACCACCAUUUAUUGCAUCAUGUUUAUUUAUUCAUUUAUUAAUUUUAAUUAAUAUUACACCCUCACACCAAGUGGCCCCUACAUUUCAAAAUAUUAAACACCAAAAUCAUACAUUCAGUCCUGCAUCCAUAAAACUAAAAUCUCUUCCAUAAAACCAUUUUAAAUUAUUUCUUUUGUUUCUACUGUUCAUUAACCACAAAUAUAACACUUCUUUUUCAAUUAUUUUAUUAUUAUAAUCUCUUUUUUUUUUUCCUAACUUAGUAUCCCACCACCUCUGAACCAAACUCCACUCAACAAUAACACUUUCUUCUCCUUAUAAAAGCUUACCCCAACACUUUCAUCCAGCAACUACUUAACACCCCUUAAACCCAAUAUUUUCUUCUUCUUCAUAACCUAAAAUAUUACUUCUGAUUGCAAAACCUUCCCAUGCAAAGCAAAAACCCUUUCCAUUCCUUCCCUCCGACGAGAAUAACCAUUCUUCCGAGUGCUAAAAAAAAAUGUCGUGAGGCAUACCACCUGUGCUAACCAACCAUUCUCCUAAUUCCCGAAAACACCAUUGAAUAACUCUCUUCUCUGCCUUUAAUUACUACCCUUAAAUCUUACUUCUUCAUACAGUAAAACAUAUAUAUCUCCUGCAACCCAAGAUUUCACAUCCUAACCACUUUCUCUCUUUUCUCACUACUCAAUACUUAACAUAUACCAUAUUCUAAAUUCUCCCCACUACCGACACAGACGUACAAAACAUGCCCCUGUUUUCUUUCUUCUAAAUCUCAAUCACGUAAACCCUUGAUAUAAAUUCUCCCCCAUUUAAUCAUUCAUUUUAUUUACCUUCUCUACUUUCCCAAUAACCCUUCUUCUUUCAUUUUCUCUACAUCACCAGACAACCACAAACCUGCAAUAUCUCUUCCUUUACGUGAAACACUAACGUUUCUACAUUCCCAUACCAGAACUACAACACCUCUUCAACCUUUCUAAAACCAGCGAACCUAAGUUUCUUCAUCUCUAAACUUUCCAACAUAUAUUGAAUUAUAAUAUUUUAUAUUUAAUCCUAAUCGAAUAAAAGAUUUCUUCCAUCAACGCAUAACCCAUAAUAUAACCAAUGCAUACCUCUCCUAACAGUCCAAAUUACCACAAUCAAGUUCAUCAAAACACACCACAGACAAUUAAUCACAGGUUCAUCAUUUGCACAAUCCAAUUCAUGCUCAACAGGUAUAUAAAACCGUGAGAAAUACAAUUCAAACCGUACAUAGCUUCAAAUCCAAUAUGCAUAUAUUUUAUAAAAUAAAUUUGCACAAAAUAAUUAGCUCCCCUUACCUUUUGGUUCUCACAGCACAGUUCCUAAAAAAACGCCCUAAAAGUAUCUUCGCAUAGAGGUAAUUUCGACAGUACCUAUAAGCCACCAAAUUGGUGUAGAGCACAAUCUUUAGAACUUGAUAGGAUAAGGAAAAAUAAAAAUAACCCUACUUGCAAGUAUAACCUUUGCAUGAGUAAAACCCUAGGGUGCGGAGAAUGGGAAAUUUACCUUAUCAGCGGAGAGACACGAAACUAAUCGGAUGAUUUGGAAGCUCUCGACUUUGGAAACGUGGGGCACCACGUAUUUGAAAAUGAAACGAUGAAAAUUUGAGAAAGAGUAGAGAGAAGGUGGAGCAAGGUUUAGAGAGAAGGCAAAGCUUUUAAAGAACCCACCUUUUAGAGAGAGAGAAUUUUAGCUAAAAUGAACUCUGACUUAGUAAAACCCCCUGCCCCUAAGGCUGCCUUUAAUUUCUAUGGGCCUGUCUGCCUUGUUUUAGAAAUUUCUCUGGCCCUUACAUUCAACUUCAAAUUUGUCAAGAGUAUUUCUAUUUUGAAUUAGUUGGUAUGACCAUAUUUCAAAACCUAACUUCAUGUUUUCCCUUAUGU
rnacentral:lncRNA from 1 species